AGUGAACGCUGGCGGUAGGCCUAACACAUGCAAGUCGAACGGCAGCACAGUAAGAGCUUGCUCUUACGGGUGGCGAGUGGCGGACGUGUGAGGAAUACAUCGGAAUCUACUUUUUCGUGGGGGAUAACGUAGGGAAACUUACGCUAAUACCGCAUACCACCUACGGUUGAAAGCAGUGGAUCUUCGGACCUUGCGCGAUUGAAUGAGCCGAUGUCGGAUUAGCUAGUUGGCGGGGUAAAGGCCCACCAAGGCGACGAUCCGUAGCUGGUCUGAGAGGAUGAUCAGCCACACUGGAACUGAGACACGGUCCAGACUCCUACGGGAGGCAGCAGUGGGGAAUAUGGGACAAUGGGCGCAAGCCUGAUCCAGCCAUACCGAGUGGGUGAAGAAGGCCUUCGGGUUGUAAAGCCCUUUUGUUGGGAAAGAAAAGCAGCAGGUUAAUACCCCGCUGUUCUGACGGUACCCAAAGAAUAAGCACCGGCUAACUUCGUG
rnacentral:rRNA from 1 species